rnacentral:misc_RNA from 1 species
AGGAAAUCUUAAUAUUUCUACCUCCUCACACUCUCUUCACUCUUAGGCCACUUUCACUAUUUCGACAAUACAGGUUCUUAAUAUUUCUUAUUCUUUGAUCGUUUCAUUUCAAGUCUGCAAUAUCAUUCAAUCAUCAGUUUCUGCAUUCUUAAAAUGUAACUUCAGUUUCAUAUGCAUUCUCUCAGUAGAGACUAUUUGUGAAUUCAUCAUCUUGUACAUGUAUCCAAAGGUGGUGCCUAGUGGGGGUAAUGGGUUGUAGUUUAUCCAUUUUUUAUUAAUCUGUUUGUUUCUUUGAAUUGAAUUCCACUGAUUCUUGAUCUUGUUUGUAGUAAAUUUGAGUUGAGGAAUGCUGUAAUUCGUUGCAUGCACCCAUUAGUGAUUCUAUUUUUGUAUAUAUCAUUUGUUGAUUCAAAGGUGGUAGUGGCGUAGUGGAAGUAUUGUGUUCUAAUUUAGGCACUUACUUUUUUUUAUUAUUAAUUUAUUAGUUUGGUUGAAUCGAAUUCUGCUGAUUCUUAUACUGUUUAUCAUAAACUUGGGUUGAGGAAUAGUGUAAUUCCAAUUCAAUUUUUGGCAUGCAGAAAGAAGAGGCCUGAUUCUGUACAAAGUUGGCAUUGGUAUCUAAAAUGGCUGGUCAUGAAGAGAAGACUGUUAAUUCUGAUGCCAAAUCAGGGAAUAUGAUUUUUGAACCUAUCCUGGAAGAUGGAGUUUUCCGAUUUGAUUGUCCUGGAGAUGAUAGACUGGCUGCAUAUCCCAGUCUUUCAUUCAUCAAUGCUAAGGAUAGGGACACACCAAUCAUCAGUCAUCCAGUUCCCUCAUAUAUCCCUACUUUUGAAUGUGUUUUAGGAAAGCAGAUUGUCAAACUUGAGCUUCCCAAUGGCACCUCCUUCUAUGGAACUGGAGAAGUUAGUGGACCACUUGAGCGGACAGGGAAGAGAGUUUUCACAUGGAACACAGAUUCAUAUGGUUAUGGUCCUGAAACUAUGCCCUUGUAUCAAUCACAUCCUUGGGUGCUAGCUAUUCUUCCAAAUGGAGAGGCACUAGGAGUUCUUGCUGACACAACACAAUGUUGUGAGAUUGAUUUGAGGAAGGAAUCAAUUAUUCAAUUCAUUGCUUCAGCCUCAUAUCCUAUCAUUACGUUUGGUCCAUUUGCUUCACCCACAGCUGUCCUGAAAUCUUUAUCUCGUGCAAUUGGAACUGUUUUUAUGCCUCCAAAGUGGGCCUUAGGUUAUCAACAAUGCCGUUGGAGCUAUAAUUCUGAUAAAAGAGUUCGUGAGGUAUAGUAUUGAUGCAUUAUAUCAAUAUGUUGAUCACUAUGGGAUCUCAAGCUAGAUUGUUUUCAUUUAUUUAUAACUAUGGAAAGUCAAGUUUUACUAUGGGCCUUUGAUAGUUAGACAUCAUAUAUCCUUUCUUCUUGUUGUUGAGCCUUUUACACUUGUAGAUUGCCGAAACAUUUAGGAAGAAGGGCAUUCCUUGUGAUGUCAUAUGGAUGGACAUUGACUACAUGGAUGGUUUUCGCUGUUUCACAUUUGACCAGGAACGUUUUCCAGAUCCACAAUCUUUGGUGAAAGAUCUCAAUGAUAUGGGUUUUAAAGCAACUUGGAUGCUUGACCCUGGUAUCAAAUGUGAAGAAGGUUAUUUUGUGUAUGAUAGUGGUUCUGAAAGUGAUGUUUGGGUUCAAAGAGCAGAUGGAAGACCAUUUAUUGGGGAGGUGUGGCCUGGGCCUUGUGUUUUCCCUGACUUCACACAAUCAAAGGUUCGCUCUUGGUGGGCUAGUUUAGUUAAAGAUUUCAUUCCUAAUGGCGUUGAUGGCAUAUGGAAUGAUAUGAAUGAGCCAGCUAUUUUUAAGACAGCAACAAAGACAAUGCCUGAAAACAAUAUUCAUCGAGGAGAUGAUGAACUUGGAGGUUGUCAAGAGCACUCAUACUAUCACAAUAUAUAUGGCAUGCUGAUGGCAAGAUCAACAUUUGAAGGCAUGAAAUUAGCCAAUGAAAAUAAGCGUCCCUUUGUUCUUACUAGGGCUGGAUUUAUUGGCAGUCAAAAGUAUGCUGCAACAUGGACAGGAGACAACGUUUCAAAUUGGGAGCAUCUGCACAUGUCCAUCUCCAUGGUUCUUCAAUUAGGACUCAGUGGUCAACCAUUUUCAGGACCUGAUAUUGGCGGAUUUGUUGGAAAUGCAACGCCUAAGCUUUUUGGAAGGUGGAUGGGUGUCGGUGCAAUGUUUCCUUUCUGUCGUGGGCAUUCUGAAAAAGCCUCUUUUGACCAUGAGCCAUGGUCUUUUGGAGAUGAGUGUGAAGAAGUUUGUCGUCGAGCAUUGAAGAGACGUUAUCGUCUUAUACCACACUUGUAUACUCUGUUUUAUUAUGCUCAUAUAAUGGGUACACCAGUGAUGACUCCUACCUUCUUCGCUGAUCCAACAAAUCCUAGCUUAAGGACCAUUGAAAAUUCCUUCCUUUUGGGUCCACUUUUGGUUUAUGCAAGCACUAUUCCUGAUCAGGGAACAAACGAAUCACAGCAUGAACUGCCUAAAGGAAUCUGGUUGAGAUUUGAUUUUGAUGAUUCACAUCCGGAUUUGCCAACUUUAUACUUGCAAGGUGGAUCAAUAAUUCCUUUGGGGCCCCCUCAUCAGCAUGUUGGUGAAGCUAAUUUUUCUGAUGACUUGACGCUCGUUGUAGCUUUAGAUGAAAAAGGGCAAGCUAAAGGUGUAUUAUUUGAAGAUGAUGGUGAUGGAUAUGAAUUCACCAAGGGUGGAUAUUUGCUUACACAUUAUGUUGCUGAACGUCGAUAUUCAGUUGUUAUUGUUAGAGUUUCGAAAACAGAAGGGUCUUGGAAGAGGCCCAAAAGACGCCUGCAAGUGCUAUUAUUGCUUGGUGAAGGUGCAAUGAUUAAAGCAUGGGGCAUGGAUGGAGGUUUUGUGAUAAUUUGGAUGCCUUCAGAACUUGAUGUUUCUGAGUUGGUAUCAACAAGCGAGAAACAAUAUAAGAGUCGUUUAGAAAGUUCUAAGCAUAUCCCAGAUGUUGACGAGGUUUCAGCACCAAGGGGAGGAGAACUUUCUAAAAUCCCUAUUGAACUAAAAAGUGGUGAUUGGAUUGUUAAAAUCGUUCCAUGGAUUGGUGGUAGAAUUAUUUCCAUGGAGCACCUUCCUUCAGGAACACAAUGGCUUCAUAGCAGGAUUGAGAUUGAUGGAUAUGAAGAAUAUAGUGGCUCUGAGUACCGGUCAGCAGGAUGCUCUGAGGAAUAUAAGGUCAUCGAGCGGGAUUUUGAGCAUGCAGGAGAGGAUGAAUCUCUUAUAUUAGAAGGUGAUAUUGGUGGAGGAUUGGUUAUUCAACGGCAGAUAUUUAUUCAAAAAGAUGAUCCAAAGAUUCUCCAUAUCGACUCUAGCAUUGUAGCCCAGAAAGUUGGAGCUGGUUCAGGUGGAUUUUCCAGGCUGGUUUGCUUGAGAGUACAUCCAACCUUUACCCUCUUACAUCCCAUGGAGACUUUUGUUUCAUUCACUUCCAUUGAUGGAUCAAAGCAUGAAAUUAAACCUGAAUCUGGGGAUCAAUUUUAUGAAGGAAAUCUUCUACCACACGGAGAAUGGAUGCUUGUUGAUAAAUGUCUUGGCGUGGGGUUGGUUAAUCGAUUUAAUGUGAAGGAGGUCUACAAGUGCUACAUCCACUGGGGAACUGGGACAGUUAACCUGGAGCUAUGGUCUGAAGAAAGGCCUGUUUCAAGGCAAUCUCCUCUCAAAAUUUCCCACGAGUAUGAAGUUGAAGCAACCCCUUAGUUUCAUGGUAUUAUCAAUUGUACUUAUAAAAUUCUGUCAGAAUAAGUUGUAUGCUAUAAUGCACAGAAACUCGGAAUUCUAUUAUGCAACCAGGAACUGGUUAACAAAGCAUAAUUUUUGCUUGUGAAACUUUUGGAGAUUACUCAAGAGAUGGCAUUGGCUAUAAACCUACGUUUUUAGUUAAGCUUCAAUAUAAAAUUGUUCAAUUUCAUGAAAAGG